UGGGGAAUUUUGGACAAUGGGCGAAAGCCUGAUCCAGCAAUGCCGCGUGUGUGAAGAAGGCCUUCGGGUUGUAAAGCACUUUUGUCCGGAAAGAAAUCCUUGGCUCUAAUACAGUCGGGGGAUGACGGUACCGGAAGAAUAGGCACCGGCUAACUACGUGCCAGCAGCCGCGGUAAUACGUAGGGUGCAAGCGUUAAUCGGAAUUACUGGGCGUAAAGCGUGCGCAGGCGGUUUGCUAAGACCGAUGUGAAAUCCCCGGGCUCAACCUGGGAACUGCAUUGGUGACUGGCAGGCUAGAGUAUGGCAGAGGGGGGUAGAAUUCCACGUGUAGCAGUGAAAUGCGUAGAGAUGUGGAGGAAUACCGAUGGCGAAGGCAGCCCCCUGGGCCAAUACUGACGCUCAUGCACGAAAGCGUGGGGAGCAAACAGGAUUAGAUACCCUGGUAGUCCACGCCCUAAACGAUGUCAACUAGUUGUUGGGGAUUCAUUUCCUUAGUAACGUAGCUAACGCGUGAAGUUGACCGCCUGGGGAGUACGGUCGCAAGAUUAAAACUCAAGGAAUUGACGGGGUCAUAGCUGUUUCCU
rnacentral:rRNA from 1 species